AAAAACAUGUUCUUUUGUUUAUAAAUAAAAGGUCUAACCUGCCCAAUGAUUUAAUUUAAUGGCCGCGGUAUAUUAACUGUGCUAAGGUAGCAUAAUCAUUUGUCUUUUAAUUAAAGGCUAGAAUGAACGGUUGGACGAGGUAUUUUCUUUCUUUAGUUUAGUUUAUGAAUUUAAUUUUUUAGUUAAAAAGCUAAAAUUUAUUUGGGGGACGAGAAGACCCUAUAGAUCUUUAUAUUUUUUAUUAUUAUAUAUUUUAGUAUAUUAAUUGUUUUAAUAAUAUAUUUUAUUUGAUUGGGGUGAUUGUAGAAUUUAAAUUAACUUCUAUUUUUAUUAUUCAUUAAUUAAUGUUUUUUUGAUCCAAUUUUAUUGAUUUAAAGAUUAAGUUACCUUAGGGAUAACAGCGUAAUUCUUUCGGAGAGCUCAUAUCGAUGAAGGAGUUUGCGACCUCGAUGUUGGAUUAAAAUAAGUUUUAGGUGUAGAAGCUUAAAAACUAGGUCUGUUCGACCUUUAAUUUUUUACAUGAUCUGAGUUC
rnacentral:rRNA from 1 species